CAGUAACUGCGAGUGAAGCGGGAUCGGCUCAAUGUGUGAAUCUGGCUUGGGGUACAUCCCGGGUCCGAGUUGUGCACUAUGGAUGCUUCGUCUGCGUUUGUAAAGGCGGUGGAAGUCCGUUGAAACACGGCACCUCAGAGGGUCACAGUCCUGUACCAUCCGUCUGCACUCGCGCCAAUGACAAGUGCUCCUCGAGUCGCGUAGUUUUGUAAUGCUGCGCCAAGUGGGAGGUAGAGACCUUCUAAGGCUAAAUAUGAUGACGUGACCGAUAGCACACAAGUACCGCGAGGGAAAGGUGAAAAGCAACCAUGAAAAAUGGGUUGAAACAGUAGUGAAAUCGCUACCGGGAUAAGGGCUAUCGGGUGCUGGGGCUCUUUGGGUGUGCUUUAGUGCUACCCUCGGAGACGGCCCGCGAGGGUUGAUGUUGGGGGGAUAGACGCGCUGCAGGAAUUCGGCUGCCUUUGGGCAGUGUUGUAGCCUGCGGUUGCUGAUCCUCCUGCGACCUUGUGUGAUUGCGGGUCUUGCGACCGUUAGCCGCCCGUCUUGAAACACGGACCAAGGAGUGCACCUUGCAUGCGAGUCGAAGGGAUUUGAAACCUGGAGGCGUAGCGAACGCGACGAUGGGGAAUGUCCUUGUGGCAGACACCCGCACCCGCCUUGUGCGAGGUAGAGCAUGUACGGUGCGACCCGAAAGAUGGUGAACUAUGCCCGGGUAAGGUGAAGCCAGUGGAAACGCUGGUGGAGGCCUGUAGCGAUUCUGACGUGCAAAUCGAUCGCGUAACCUGGGUAUAGGGGCGAAAGACCUAUCGAACCGUCUAAU
rnacentral:rRNA from 1 species